rnacentral:lncRNA from 1 species
CCUCUAAAGCUAUAAAAUUAAGAGGAGAGCUAGGGAAGAGGGUAUGGAAGUGGGAGAGAACAUUUAGGAAAGAGAUUUCAAAGAGAUUACAAGAGAAAUCUCUCAUAAGCACAAAAGGGCCAUCCAAAGCGAAAUAGAGAGAAGAAGAGCAUCCAAGUGAAUCCCAAAGCUUCCUCUCCAUCCGUGUGCUGCCUCAAUGAUCCUCUACCUCGUGCCAAAUCAGAAGAGGGUCAAGUAAAGAAGAAGCCGAGUGCCUUCAUCUUCAAAAUUCGUUUGAGAGCUUCUCUUUACUCCAUUUGUUUAUAUUUGAUAUAUUUGCUUAGUUAAGAAGCUUGUAUUU